rnacentral:rRNA from 1 species
AUACGUAGGGGGCGAGCGUUGUCCGGAAUGAUUGGGCGUAAAGGGCGCGUAGGCGGCCGCUUAAGUCUGGAGUGAAGGUCCUGUUUUCAAGAUGGGAAUUGCUUUGGAUACUGGGGGGCUUGAGUGCAGGAGAGGUUAUCGGAAUUCCCGGUGUAGCGGUGAAAUGCGUAGAGAUCGGGAGGAACACCAGUGGCGAAGGCGGGUAACUGGACUGCAACUGACGCUGAGGCGCGAAAGUGUGGGGAGCAAACAGGAUUAGAUACCCUGGUAGUCCACACUGUAAACGAUGAAUGCUAGGUGUAAGAGGUAUCGACCCCUUUUGUGCCGGAGUCAACACAAUAAGCAUUCCGCCUGGGGAGUACGGCCGCAAGGUUGAAACUCAAAUGAAUUGACGGGG